rnacentral:lncRNA from 1 species
AAGAGCAUUUGAGGCAGAAUCAACAGCAGAAACCAGUCAGGGAGGCCGUGAGUGUCACGGUAACAGUAUGGUCUUGUCUUGUUCCCAUGAGAGCUUCUGUAAGUCACAUGCUAGCGACUGAGACUUUGAUGCUUGUUAGAAGGAGAUGAAUAAAAAAGGGAGGACAUUUCUUUUAUGACAUGGCCCCCACCCCCACAGUACAUAAUAAAUAGCACUAUGAGAAAGUUUCCCAUGACACAUGUAGGAGAUGGAGUUGGGGCUGGCCUCUGUGGCCUUGGGGUUGUUGGGAACCUGGGGCUAGGAGAACCUGUAGCAUAGGAGGUGUUUGGAUGUGAGCUCUGAAGAGCCACUUGGAUGAGCAGGAGCCACGGCCCACCUGUGGGCACCGACCCCAAGGCCAGGGCAGGUCUCUGAGGUUGGAGAGGGCGGUCGAGAGGCCACCCAAGAUGAGCAGGGGCCUGAUGGGAACCGGAACUAAGCAGUCUUUCCUGUCGCUGGGCCUGACACAGCUGCCUUCUGUGCCCAGGGAAUCCCGGGGGCUGGGAACUGGGCCUUCUCCUGCAGCUCCCACAUUGCCCGGGCACCAGGCUGUUGUCUUCCUUCCUGGCUUGAAAAAAGUCCAGGUCCCCGCCAGAAGCCUUUGGCCUGCUGAGGGAGCAAUGUACUUGUUUUUUCUAAAUUCCUGCCUUGGGAUUUUGUUUUUUUAUUCCCCCUGCCAAAAAAAAAAAAAAAAAGGAAGAGACAAGCAUUACCCGCAAAGGGCAUCUUCAUAAGAGUCCAAACGCUUCUCCAGAAGGCAGCAUUGGAAUGGCGGCUCCUGCAGCAGGCUUGUGCACUC